rnacentral:rRNA from 1 species
CAGGACGAACGCUGGCGGCGUGCUUAACACAUGCAAGUCGAACGGGGCGAAGUGAUAGCUUGCUAGUUAUGGAGCCUAGUGGCAAACGGGUGAGUAACGCGUAGGCAACCUGCCCUUCAGAUGGGGACAACACCUCGAAAGGGGUGCUAAUACCGAAUGACGUUUCCUGGUCGCAUGACCUGGAAACCAAAGGCCGGGCAACCGGUCACUGAUGGAUGGGGAUGCGUCUGAUUAGCUUGUUGGCGGGUAACGGCCCACCAAGGCAACGAUCAGUAGGGGUUCUGAGAGGAAGGUCCCCCACUGGAACUGAGACACGGUCCAAACUCCUACGGGAGGCAGCAGUGAGGAAUAUUGGUCAAUGGGCGAGAGCCUGAACCAGCCAAGUAGCGUGCAGGACGACGGCCCUAUGGGUUGUAAACUGCUUUUAUAAGGGAAUAAAGUGAGUCUCGUGAGACUUUUUGCAUGUACCUUAUGAAUAAGGACCGGCUAAUUCCGUG